ACGGGGGUGGCAAGCGUUACUCGGAUUUAUUGGGUGUAAAGGACAGGUAGGCGUUCUGCCAAGUUAGAAGUGAAAUCCUAAGGCUUAACCUUAGAACUGCUUCUAAAACUGACGGAAUUGAGGCUAGAAGAGAAGAGCGGAAUUCCCGGUGUAAGGGUGAAAUCUGUAGAUAUCGGGAGGAACACCAGUGGCGAAAGCGGCUCUUUGGUCUAGAUCUGACGCUAAACUGUGAAAGCUAGGGGAGCAAACAGGAUUAGAUACCCUGGUAGUCCUAGCCGUAAACGAUGAGCACUAGGUGUUGGGGGGAUACCUUCAGCGCCGCAAGUUAACACGUUAAGUGCUCCACCUGGGGACUACGGCCGCAAGGUUA
rnacentral:rRNA from 1 species